CUGGAUAGGAAAUAAAAAGGCAUCUUUUUAUUUUUAAAAGACCUUCUUCGGAGGGUAUGCUUAAAGAGGGGCUUGCGUCACAUUAGUUAGUUGGUAGGGUAAUGGCCUACCAAGACGAUGAUGUGUAGCUGGACUGAGAGGUUGAACAGCCACAUUGGGACUGAGACACGGCCCAAACUCCUACGGGAGGCAGCAGUAGGGAAUUUUCGGCAAUGGAGGAAACUCUGACCGAGCAACGCCGCGUGAACGACGAAGUACUUCGGUAUGUAAAGUUCUUUUAUUGAAGAAGAAACAAUAGUGGAAAAACUAUCUUGACGUUAUUCAAUGAAUAAGCCCCGGCUAACUAUGUGCCAGCAGCCGCGGUAAUACAUAGGGGGCGAGCGUUAUCCGGAAUUAUUGGGCGUAAAGGGUGCGUAGGCGGUUUAAUAAGUCUCUAGUUUAAUUUCAACGCUUAACGUUGUCCUGCUAGAGAAACUGUUUGACUAGAGUGAGAUAGAGGUAAGCGGAAUUCCAUGUGUAGCGGUAAAAUGUGUAAAUAUAUGGAGGAACACCAGAGGCGUAGGCGGCUUACUGGGUCUUUACUGACGCUGAUGCACGAAAGCGUGGGGAGCAAACAGGAUUAGAUACCCUGGUAGUCCACGCCGUAAACUAUGAGUACUAAGUGUCGGGGUUAAACUCGGUACUGAAGUUAACACAUUAAGUACUCCGCCUGAGUAGUACGUACGCAAGUAUGAAACUUAAAGGAAUUGACGGGAUCCCGCACAAGCGGUGGAUCAUGUUGUUUAAUUCGAAGAUACACGAAAAACCUUACCAGGUCUUGACAUACUCUGCAAAACUAUAGAAAUAUAGUGGAGGUUAUCAGGGAUACAGGUGGUGCAUGGUUGUCGUCAGCUCGUGUCGUGAGAUGUUAGGUUAAGUUCUAAAACGAGCGCAACCCCUGUCGUUAAUUGCCAGCACGUUAUGGUGGGGACUUUAGCGAGACUGCCAAUGAAAAAUUGGAGGAAGGUGGGGAUUACGUCAAAUCAUCAUGCCCCUUAUGAUCUGGGCUACAAACGUGAUACAAUGGCUAUUACAAAGAGUGGCUUAAACGCGAGUUUUUGGCAAAUCUCAAAAAAAUAGUCUUAGUUCGGAUUGAAGUCUGCAACUCGACUUCAUGAAGUUGGAAUCGCUAGUAAUCGCGAAUCAGCAUGUCGCGGUGAAUACGUUCUCGGGGUUUGUACACACCGCCCGUCAA
rnacentral:rRNA from 1 species